UACGGGGGGGGGUAAGCGUUGUUCGGAAUUACUGGGCGUAAAGCGCACGUAGGCGGACUGUUAAGUCGGGGGUGAAAUCCUGGGGCUCAACCUCAGAAUUGCCUCCGAUACUGGCAGUCUCGAGUGACGGGAGAGGUGAGUGGAAUUCCCAGUGUAGAGGUGAAAUUCGUAGAUAUUGGGAAGAACACCAGUGGCGAAGGGCGCUCACUGGCCCGUAACUGACGCUGAGUGCGAAAGCGUGGGGAGCAACAGG
rnacentral:rRNA from 1 species